rnacentral:sRNA from 1 species
AGUUCCGGACGCGGCCGCCGCCGUCGCCGCCAUCUGUCACCUCUACUCCGGCAUCAGCAGCCAGUCGCCCCUGCCCCGCCUGUCUCCUCGGCGGAGCCUGCUGCCAGUCCUGCCACCUCUCUGCUCUGUUCUUGUCUCUGCCUUCAUCCUCGAAUGGAUCUGGUAGGAGUGGCAUCGCCUGAGCCCGGGCCGGCAGCGGCCUGGGGACCCAGCAAGUGUCCAUGGGCUAUCCCUCAAAAUACAAUAUCUUGUUCUUUGGCUGAUGUAAUGAGUGAACAGCUGGCCAAAGAAUUGCAGUUAGAAGAAGAAGCUGCCAUUUUUCCUGAAGUUGCGUAAGUAAAAUUCACAAAGUACUUUAUCUAGCAACUUAGAGUUUUAGGAUUUGAUGAGUAAUUGUCAUGACAAGUGGUUUGGAAAAAGCAAUGCAGAAGAAAGCACCAUAUUGAGAGUCCACUGAUACUUGAAUUUUGGUCCUGAUUUUGCAUUGGUUUUCAUUAUUAUCUUGGACAAACCACUGUUUCUGUGGGUUUUAGUUAUAUCGUGUUAAUGCCGCAGUUGAACUAGAUGA